rfam:Bursaphelenchus xylophilus, Ka4C1 (inbred line), WGS project CADV01000000 data, contig: contig19066
CAUACGGCCCUCUUUAGGGCCACAUAUUACGCUUAUAUUAUUUUACU